rnacentral:rRNA from 1 species
UACGUAGGGAGCGAGCGUUGUCCGGAUUUAUUGGGCGUAAAGCGCGCGUAGGCGGUUUCGUAAGUCGGGUGUGAAAACUCCAAGCUCAACUUGGAGCCUGCAUCCGAAACUGCGAUGACUUGAGUCAGGUAGGGGACACGGAAUUCCAGGUGUAGCGGUGAAAUGCUUAGAUAUCUGGAGGAACACCAGUGGCGAAGGCGGUGUUCUGGGCCUGGUACUGACGCUGAUGCGCGAAAGCGUGGGGAGCGAACAGG